ACGGCACUCACAGGAACGGAACCGGUCAAAGACGGAAAGAGACCACGUUUUUUCACAACACAAAAUAAAAGCUUGAGUAAAUAUAUUCCGCUCGAAUCAAUUCGUGACUUCUUUGCCUAAUUGGCAAGUUGCGACGAUGGCUCACUUCGUAUAUCCUGCUGCGAGUCCCGCUCAACCAACGGCAGCGUACCCUGCAGCUCAGGCGGCAUAUGUAGCAGCUGCUCCUCAAGCGGCAUAUGCCACUGCUACACCUCGGGCAGGACUUACCUACGAGGCUUACCCAGCAGCUCAUGCCACGCCGCAGUAUGCUUACGCCACAAGAACACAAGUUGCCGUUACGCCGGCUGUGACGUAUGACCAGACCAAAACGUAUUAUCAACCAGCACAGGCUACAGCGUAUACAGCGGCAGAAACGCAUUAUCAAGCAGCAAAGCCUGUGUACAGCACAGGCACCGCAUACAACACAGCUCAGCGACAGGCCACUCAGCCUAAGGCUCAGGCUCUGCAGGUGACCACCUCAGGGACGACCUACGUGUACGGUACCGCUGCUGCUCCGGCUGUGACGACCUACCCACAGACUAACUACACGGCUACGACCACUACACAAGCAGCUGGAUACGAGACAGCUCUGUACACUGCGGCCACUUCCUACUACCAGCAGCAGCAGGCUGCCAAAGUAACCGGAGCUCAGUGGAUUGCCAAAAAACCAGGUGGCCCGUUCAAGCCAAAACCCAAAGGCCCUCCGAAACAGCCACAGCUGCACUACUGUGAUGUGUGCAAGAUCAGCUGCGCUGGACCUCAGACGUACCGUGAACAUCUGGAAGGCCAGAAGCACAAGAAGAAAGAACAGGCCACUAAAGGAGUGGCGGCCCCUGCAGCACGAGGUGGCCAUAACCAGCUGCGGUGUGAACUCUGCGAUGUCACAUGCACCGGCGCCGACGCCUACGCCGCUCACAUCAGAGGAGCCAAGCACACAAAGGUGAUGAAGCUACAUACAAAAUUGGGCAAACCGAUACCAUCAACGGACCCUGUGAUUGUAGCCAACUCCAGCGCAUCUACAACUACCACGGCUAAAGUGACCACUGGAACCUCGGUCACGUCUGCCAAAGUUGUGAAGCCACCUGUCGUGGCAGGGGUCAAAAAGGUUUUGGCAGCUCCGAAGAUAACUUUUGUUGGUGGGACACAGCUGAAAACAACUGGCACAAAAGCUGAAGAAGUGAAAGUUCAGCCAAUGAAGACUGAUCCUACUCCUGCUGUUACUAUUACGUCUGUGGAGAAAGCAAUGUCAGAUGAUGGCGACAAGUUCAACAUCCUUGGAGAAAAAGACGUUGCUCCUGUUGGACAUGAAUAUAUUGAAGAGGUAAAGAAUGAGAUUGGCAAGGUUGUGAGUUUCAACUGCAAACUCUGCGAGUGCAAAUUCAACGAUCCUAAUGCAAAGGAAAUGCAUCUGAAAGGAAGACGGCACAGGCUUCAGUACAAGAAAAAGGUGGAUCCCAAUCUGUUGGUAGAGGUGAAGCCGAGUAUUCGCGCCCGCAAGGUGCAGGAGGAGAAAUUGAGACGCCAGGCCCAGAAGGAAGAGUUCUGGCAGCGCAGAGUACAGGAGGAACGAUGGAGAGAUGAGAUGAGGAUGGAGGAGGAGAUGUACUGGGAACACCAGCGUCGGUAUGAGAUGAUGGAGUACUUCGAGUGGCACAGAAUGGGCGGACCACCGGGCAUGAUGCCGCCACGCUUCCCCGGACCCAUGGGACCAGGGCCAAUGAUGCGAAGGCCUGACACAUCGGAUGAUCGUCAUGUGAUGGCUAAACACACAAGUAUUUACCCAACAGAAGCCGAGCUACAAGCUGUUCAAAGCAUUGUAUCGUCUUGUGAGCGAGGACUGAAGUUGGUGUCCGAUUUUCUUGCGGAGAGUGAUGCUCCGAAAACCAGCGAACCCGUGAAGAAACCGGAGCCAGCCAAGAAGGAGGUGAAGGCGAAGGUUCCCGCCAAAGCUGAACCGAAGAAACCGGCGGAAGUCAAGAAAGAGACAGAAGUCAAAGAUGUCAAAGAAGAAACCAAGAAGAAGGAAGAGGCUCCUCCAGCCCCACGAGUGCUGAAAGGUGUGAUGCGAGUGGGAGUCCUUGCCAAAGGUUUGCUGCUGCACGGGGACCUAAACGUCCACCUGGUGGUUCUGUGUUCGGAGAAACCAACCCGCACCAUGCUGGAACGAGUGGCUGAUGGACUGGGAAAACAGUUGGCUACCUCAGAGGACAAGUACGAAAUCCGACGCUGCGUGGAAGAAGCUGCUAUCAUAGUGACGAGUGACAAGGAACCAAAGACAUCAUGUAUUAUUACACUGACAUCACCCGUCAUGCGCGAAUCGGCAGACCGGGAAGGAGGCUAGAGCCAACGGUCUUCCGUCGUGCGUGAUCGUCAUAAGGAUCCUGAGGGAUUUAUGUCAGAGAGUUCCGACAUGGACGCCUCUUGAAGAAUGGGCCAUGGAACUGUUGGCUGAAAAGUGUGUGAGUAGUGGGG
rnacentral:misc_RNA from 1 species